rnacentral:snoRNA from 1 species
UCUUAAUGAUGAUUGUAUAUGUGAACAAUCUCUGAAAACUCUUGUGGAACAAAAAAACAACGAGCUUUUUAAUACUGAAACAA